UUCGGUUGAUCCUGCCAGUAGUUAUAUGCUUGUCUCAAAGAUUAAGCCAUGCAUGUCUAAGUACACACGAAUUAAAAGUGAAACCGCAAAAGGCUCAUUAUAUCAGUUAUGGUUCCUUAGAUCGUUAACAUUACUUGGAUAACUGUGGUAAUUCUAGAGCUAAUACAUGCAAUUAAAACAUGAACCUUAUGGGACAUGUGCUUUUAUUAGGCUAAAAACCAAGCGAUCGCAAGAUCGUUAUAUUGGUUGAACUCUAGAUAACAUGCAGAUCGUAUGGUCUUGUACCGACGACAGAUCUUUCAAAUGUCUGCCCUAUCAACUUUGAUGGUAGUAUCUAGGACUACCAUGGUUGCAACGGUAACGGGGAAUCAGGGUUCGAUUCCGGAGAGGGAGCCUGAGAAACGGCUACCACAUCUAAGGAAGGCAGCAGGCGCGUAAAUUACCCACUCCCAGCUCGGGAGGUAGUGACGAAAAAUAACAAUACAGGACUCAUAUCCGAGGCCCUGUAAUUGGAAUGAGUACACUUUAAAUCCUUUAACAAGGACAAUUGGAGGGCAAGUCUGGUGCCAGCAGCCGCGGUAAUUCCAGCUCCAAUAGCGUAUAUUAAAGUUGUUGCGGUUAAAACGUUCGUAGUUGAACUUGUGCUUCAUACGGGUAGUACAACUUACAAUUGUGGUUAGUACUAUACCUUUAUGUAUGUAAGCGUAUUACCGGUGGAGUUCUUAUAUGUGAUUAAAUACUUGUAUUUUUUCAUAUGUUCCUCCUAUUUAAAAACCUGCAUUAGUGCUCUUAAACGAGUGUUAUUGUGGCCGGUACUAUUACUUUGAACAAAUUAGAGUGCUUAAAGCAGGCUUCAAAAUGCCUGAAUAUUCUGUGCAUGGGAUAAUGAAAUAAGACCUCUGUUCUGCUUUCAUUGGUUUUCAGAUCAAGAGUAAUGAUUAAUAGAAGCAGUUUGGGGGCAUUAGUAUUACGACGCGAGAGGUGAAAUUCUUGGACCGUCGUAAGACUAACUUAAGCGAAAGCAUUUGCCAAAGAUGUUUUCAUUAAUCAAGAACGAAAGUUAAGAGGUUCGAAGGCGAUCAGAUACCGCCCUAGUUCUAACCAUAAACGAUGCCAGCUAGCAAUUGGGUGUAGCUACUUUUAUGGCUCUCUCAGUCGCUUCCCGGGAAACCAAAGCUUUUGGGCUCCGGGGGAAGUAUGGUUGCAAAGCUGAAACUUAAAGGAAUUGACGGAAGGGCACCACCAGGAGUGGAGCCUGCGGCUUAAUUUGACUCAACACGGGAAAACUUACCAGGUCCGAACAUAAGUGUGUAAGACAGAUUGAUAGCUCUUUCUCGAAUCUAUGGGUGGUGGUGCAUGGCCGUUCUUAGUUCGUGGAGUGAUUUGUCUGGUUAAUUCCGAUAACGAACGAGACUCAAAUAUAUUAAAUAGAUAUCUUCAGGAUUAUGGUGCUGAAGCUUAUGUAGCCUUCAUUCAUGUUGGCAGUAAAAUGCUUAUUGUGUUUGAAUGUGUUUAUGUAAGUGGAGCCGUACCUGUUGGUUUGUCCCAUUAUAAGGACACUAGCUUCUUAAAUGGACAAAUUGCGUCUAGCAAUAAUGAGAUUGAGCAAUAACAGGUCUGUGAUGCCCUUAGAUGUCCUGGGCUGCACGCGGCGCUACAAUGAAAGUAUCAACGUGUAUUUCCUAGACCGAGAGGUCCGGGUAAACCGCUGAACCACUUUCAUGCUUGGGAUUGUGAACUGAAACUGUUCACAUGAACUUGGAAUUCCCAGUAAGUGUGAGUCAUUAACUCGCAUUGAUUACGUCCCUGCCCUUUGUACACACCGCCCGUCGCUACUACCGAUUGAAUUAUUUAGUGAGGUCUCCGGACGUGAUCACUGUGACGCCUUGCGUGUUACGGUUGUUUCGCAAAAGUUGACCGAACUUGAUUAUUUAGAGGAAGUAAAAGUCGUAACAAGGUUCCGUAGGUGAACCUGCGGAAG
rnacentral:rRNA from 1 species